rnacentral:rRNA from 1 species
UACGAAGGGGGGCUAGCGUUGCUCGGAAUUACUGGGCGUAAAGGGAGCGUAGGCGGAUAGUUAAGUCAGAGGUGAAAGCCCAGGGCUCAACCUUGGAAUUGCCUUUGAUACUGGCUAUCUUGAGUAUGGGAGAGGUAAGCGGAACUCCGAGUGUAGAGGUGAAAUUCGUAGAUAUUCGGAAGAACACCAGUGGCGAAGGCGGCUUACUGGCCCAUUACUGACGCUGAGGCUCGAAAGCGUGGGGAGCAAACAGGG